GAUCAUCAUAAAAGGUGGUAGUUGGUCUUGAUAAAAAGGCCUUCUAUCUACUUGAUCUGUGCAAUGUGGACUACAUUCGUAGUUCUGAACUUGGAGAUUAAAAAUCCAGUAGGUCUUUUAAGGCUGAAAUGGUGGCUCCAGAGGUACUUUUGGUACCAAAAAUUUAUAUAUACUAUUGUCAGAUUUGAUAUACAGUGUCUGUUAGGACUUUUUGGCCUUCAUUCACUAUAAACUGUAGGAUGGCUCUGUAGUGGGGUUCUGAAUACAAAAAACAACUUUUAGCAAUGGAUCUCUUGGUUUCCGCAUCGAUGAAGAGCGUAGCAAAUUGCGAUAAUUAGUGCGAAUUGCAGACCUUGCGAAUCAUCGAGUUCUUGAACGCAUCUUGCACCUAGUAGUUUAUUCUUCUAGGUACGGUUGCUUCAGUAUUACGAAACUCAACAAGACCCAACUUUUGUGGUUUGGGACUUGGAGCUGGACUUGCUAGGGCCUCUUUGAGGGUCUUGGUAGUCUUAAAUGGAGUAUGCCAAAAGUCUUUUUGACCUUGUUUCAAAGAGAUUGGACUAUAAAAGUGGACCAAGGUCUGGUAUGAUUUACCUUGGUUGUCCGAUCUUUGGAGGUUAAUGUGAUUGGGAUUUUGGUUAGAGGUUUAGCCUCUAAAAAGAUCUACCAAAACUGUAAUC
rnacentral:misc_RNA from 1 species